rnacentral:sRNA from 1 species
UAAUUCAACAACUCUUUAUCAAGUAUGCCAGGAACCACAUGGGGCCCUGUGGACAUAUUGGCGAGGAGACAGACUUGGUCCCCAUCUCGACAGCAGCUGCUCCAGGCGUCCAGAAUGAUUUAUUCCUCAUUCCCAGGCCCUUCAAAGGGCCAUAGUGACUCGGGGGCUGUGCAGCUGUCCCUUAUGCCUAAUAGGAGAGCAGCAUUUGAGCCAGUACCACAGUGAAAAGCAAUGGUGCUGGGAGCUGUUGGAGCACCAAGCAGGUGAAACCUCGUUGUCUAUUUCCUUUGCAUUUCUCAGAAUGCCUGACGAGUUCUUCAUACAGCUAAGUAAAUGAUCAAGAAUUGGGCCAAGCUUUCUUCUGUCUCCUCAACAGUUGUGAACUUGUCAGCAAGGCUGCAUUUGGAUUCUGGUGGGAAUGUGGACACCAUGGACAGACUGAGGAAAGAAUGUAUGACAAAGGCUUUUCUCAUGCAUUUUUUUCCCCUAGUGCCAAACAUCAGCCUGGAUGUGCUGCAGCCCAGUUUUCCUGAGAUCUUGCUGGAAUCCCACAUGGUCAUGAUCCGGGGGAACAGUGGCCUCAAACCCAAGGACAAUGAGUUCACGUCCAAACCCUGGCACUGGCCUAUCAACUAUCAGGUAGGAUCCAAGGCUGGGGCUCCUCCCAGGAAAUGGAGCCAAGAACAAGACCAGGGAGACCGGUGGAGGCGGGGGUGGGUGUACUA